CCUCCGCACUCCCCGCACAGGAGAGCGGAUCGAGGCCACGGCGUUCUCUGCCCUGACGACGCCCGAAGCCUCUUCUGGUCGGUGCCACCCGACCGCGGGGACCGCACACCCCGUCGGCCGAGGCAUCGACGGCAGCUCCGGGCUGCGGUGCUGGAGAGGUUGAGGGUCCUCUCCCGGCAC
rnacentral:ncRNA from 1 species